UUGAAAACAAAUUUGAACAGGAGUGUUGGAUUUCGAGGGGGGAGGGGGGCAGGAAAACUCUGCAUUUCUGCCACUCGAGCCUUGAGGGCCGCCUUCUGUACAAACAACCAAACUACAUGACUAGGAAAACACACAUUGGUUUGGAGGGGGCACACACACACACACACACACACACAAGUUCUUGUCUGACAAGUUGCUUGCUGAUUUGGAGCAGAUAACUAAUA
rnacentral:misc_RNA from 1 species